AUGACUAUUUGCAUGUUUUCUGCACACUAGAUGGAGUGCAGAGUGUGUUGCCUGUUUUUCUCCACCGCUCCAUCCUCAGUGCCUGCUACGGUGUUGGACACACAGUAGAGGUUCAGUAAAUGCUAAUGAACAGUCGAUUAAAUGAGCAAAAACCUUUAUUGAAUACCUACCAUGUUCCAGACAUGGCUAACUGAUGAGAAUUUACCAAUUACAUGCUUGCUGCCUUCAGGGAACUCGACCUCACAAGACAGACUGUCACGUAGAGACAACUGCUACACAACAUGGGAAGAACUGCUAUAGAGAUGUAAAGAUGUAAAGACCCAAAAUGAAGAAGCCAGAACACAUGAACACGAAACCAGCCAACCAACAAACACAAGCAGCAUGGAGCAUAGAGUCUGGGGACCAACUGCAGGGUGCUGAGGAAUGCAGCAGUUACAAACAAACAAACUCACUCACCAAAGAAAACACCAAACAAACAUACAUCCAAUAGUAUUGUGUCCGGAAUUGGUGGGUUCUUGGUCUAACUGACUUCAAGAAUGAAGCCACGGACCCUUGCGGUGAGUGUUACAGUUCCUAAAGAUGGUGUGUCCAGAGUUUGUUCAUUCAGAUGUUCAGAUGGGUCCAGAGUUUCUUCCUUCUGGUGGGUUUGUGGUCUAACUGGCUUCAGGAAUGAAGGUGCAGACCUUCACGGUGUUACAGCUCAUAAAGAUAGCGCAGACCCAAAGAGUGAGCAGCAGCCGCCAAAGACGGUGCAGACCCAAAGAGUGAGCAGCAGCAGGAUUUAUUGCCAAAGGCAAAAGAACAAAUCUUCCACAAUCUGGAAGAGGACCCUAGCCGGUUGCCACUGCUAGCUCGGGCAGCCUGCUUUUAUUCCCUUAUCUGGCCCCACCCACAUCCUACUCAUUGGCUCAUUUUAGAGAGAGCUGAUUGGUCCAUUUUACAGAAAGCUGAUUGGGCCGUUUUACA
rnacentral:lncRNA from 1 species